rnacentral:rRNA from 1 species
CAGCAGCCGCGGUAAAACGAAGGGGGCUAGCGUUGCUCGGAAUCACUGGGCGUAAAGGGUGCGUAGGCGGGUCUUUAAGUCAGGGGUGAAAUCCUGGAGCUCAACUCCAGAACUGCCUUUGAUACUGAAGAUCUUGAGUUCGGGAGAGGUGAGUGGAACUGCGAGUGUAGAGGUGAAAUUCGUAGAUAUUCGCAAGAACACCAGUGGCGAAGGCGGCUCACUGGCCCGAUACUGACGCUGAGGCACGAAAGCGUGGGGAGCAAACAGGAUUAGAUACCCCUGUAGUCCCUGUCUCUUAUAC